UUCUGAUAAUGCUUCACCCUCA
rnacentral:miRNA from 1 species